AUACCUCAUUCUAGCCAUCUUCUAAGCCAAAAAUCAAAGCAACCAAACUUUCUUCUCCCUCCCUUUAGGCUACAGCAAUGGAGGAGAAGAAAAGACCCAACUUUGUUUUUUUUUCUCACCCUUUUAAUUAUUUAAUUCCUCUUAUAAUUUAUGACAUAUAAUAACUUGAUUUAUUAUAAAACUAUUUGAUAUUAUUUAACUAAAAUAUAACAAACAAAAUGCCAAAAUGUGUCAUUC
rnacentral:lncRNA from 1 species